rnacentral:rRNA from 1 species
UACGAAGGUGGCAAGCGUUGUUCGGAUUUACUGGGCGUAAAGCGUGCGUAGGCGGUUAAAUAAGUCAGGAGUGAAAGCCCAAGGCUCAACCCUGGAAUUGCUUUUGAAACUAUUUGACUUGAAUCCGGUAGAGGUUGGCGGAAUUCCCAGUGUAGAGGUGAAAUUCGCAGAUAUUGGGAGGAACACCAGUGGCGUAAGCGGCCAACUGGACCGGUAUUGACGCUGAGGCACGAAAGCAUGGGGAGCAAACAGG